CUUCACAGGACACGCAACACCUGUUUCAUCGCUUAGGUUCACGACCAUCAGACCUAACGAGAGCCAGCCUUUUGAUGGGGUUACAGGCCUUUACUUUCUGUCUGGAGCUGUACAUGACCGAUUACUUAAUGUCUGGUAUGUAGCUGUUUUGGGUGGGGUUCAACUUUGCUUUUUAAGAAUCUGUCACCGCUUAUGGGGUCAGUAUAGAUAAGUUGGUUUAUUGUAUUGAUUGUCAGACUUACAUUGACAGAAUAAGUUUGAGUUAGAAUGUACCUUAUUAAGAAUUUAAGAGUGCUUUUUUAUGUAAUUUUAACAUUUUUGAAAUAUAAUUUUCACAAGAACAUAUUUAUAAGUUAAAGUGUCUGUACAUUUACUGCAUAUAAGUUAAUUUUUUUCUGGACUAAAAAUAAGAUUUAGUAGGAAAUAAAUUCAAAUACUCCUCUUAAGAAAA
rnacentral:lncRNA from 1 species